CACAGCUAAAUUGUGAUAAUCCCCCUUGUUAUCCAGCUUUUUUCUUUUCCAGACAGCCUCAUGGUGUAUAGUUAGCACCGAAAAGACACUUGUUAAAUGGGGAGAACCGAUGUGCGAGAAGAAGCCAUGUGGCAUAUCUUUUGAAGCAAGCUGAAGAGGCAGUGAUUUGGGGCUUCUUUGCUCAGGACCGCUAUGGAGUCAGUCAGAGAUCAAAAAGGAGCCUAAACCUGACUAUGCUUUAGGCACUGCAUCUGGCUCCAUCCCACACUGUUGCCAUAGUCACCCAUCUCCUAGCAACAAUGAACAGCAUUUUCAUGUCUCUUAAGUGACAAAGCAUAAGAGAAUAGAAGGAGACACCAGGGCUACUGCGUCUCUUCUGCAUUGUGCACCUGAAUGGCUUGGGGGAGAAGCAUGCUUCAUCAUACUAAUUUGGAAUUCCUGAAGGAAAACCAUAUCUCAGUGUUCAUUCAGCGUAUAUAGCUGCUCAAUGUAAAUACAGAUUGCUGGGUUCUUUCCCCAUUCUUCUCAUCCUGCAGCAAAAGAAAAAAAAAAGCACAAACUGUUGUUCUUCCAGUUAAAUCUGCACACAGAGGAAGAUGUCAACACACAUUAAAACUGAAACCACAUUUGAGAAGACACGCAGAACUUUGCAAAUGCCACUGCUGUUUAUAGAGCUCGGAGCUGGAGGGGAUAUCAUAUGUUUUUCAAUCUGUUUUUUUUUUUUUUUUUUUUUUUUACUCUUCUGCUGUCUUAAAAUAAACCAUAUAAUUCUUGUUCUUGGCCUUAGAACGUGAGUUAUGCCAUCAGUCUGGUGUGAUUCAUUUGCUAAAAUAUUCCGGUGAUGAAGGUCUCUCCCUCCCUGUAAUAACUGUUGUGGUACUGCUGGUGCCUGUGGAAGUCAUUGUGUCCCUUGGAGGGCUGACAAGCAGGAAAGGGCAGCUAUGUGGCACAGGCACUGGAGGAUAAUCAAAGCUGAUGCGAGGACACAUUUUGUUGAAUCGAAUGGACCUAGUUGGACAGCAUCAACUCCAUGCACCCUACGCCUGAGUACAGAGCCCGCAAGCAAACAUUCUGAUUCCAAGUGUCUAUGGAACUUGGAGAGGAAAGACACUGGACUAAUCUGGUGGAAGGCACAUGAAAGCAAGGAAUCUAAACUCAGGACCAGAAGUGGAGUGGAAGAGAGAAACUUCUGGGACCUAAUUAAUGGAACACACAGAGAACUUGAGAAGCACACCCGGCCUGGGAAAACAAAAACAAAAACAACAAACAACAAACAAAACAAAACAACAACAAAAAAACUCUGGAGCUGAAGAAUAGGAAUAUCAUUAUUUCCAGGUCCUUACCACAUCCUUGCAGGAAAGCAAGAGCGCCUUCUUUUUAAUGAUCCUCCAAGAAGGAGAGCACAGACCCUUUCUUGGCACACCAAUCCCGAGUUGAGUGACAUGUGCUUUAAACAGAGAAAGAUGGACAUUGCGCAUGUACCUGGCCGUGAAAUUAAAGACCAGGCCCUUUUGUUCUAUACUUCAUAGAUGUGAGACUAAUGGCCCUGGUUCUCGUUAUAAAACUUGGUGUAUGUGACAACUGCUACCAGCAGUGGAGUUAUAAGCAUUAGAAGAUUUAGAUUUUGCCUAAAGUUGACUGCAGUCUUUCCAAUGGCUGGUGGGCGGUGAAAGUGGUCAUUUGGGGGGCAGUAUGGUUAGGUCUCUAUCUGCAUAUGAAAUUUUUUGAGGUUCAUGAAGAAUUGGAUAAACCACAUCCAUGCAACCAGAGUACCAAUCUCAUUACAAAUUUUCCGGUGUUCUCUUCCCCAGAGCCAAUCAUGUAGCCCCCCUCCCCUUUUUUUUUCUUCAGAAAUCUUUAUUUUUAAAUCUUUAGUUGUAGACAAGGAACAUUCUAGAGCUAAACUCAUCUGGAUAUCUGACAGUUCUCCAGGUGAGAAAACUGGAGGGUUGGAAUUUUGUUAGUAAAUGAGCUGAUCUAGAACAUAAGCCUCCCGACUUGCUGGGCCUUUCUCACCACAUGGUUUUGCUGCCCUGUGGUUUGUGGAUCUGUGUAGAUUCACGGCUGAGUGUUGCUGGUCCGUGAUGGGACAAGUAAAAAAAGUGAAAGCAAACAUUUAGAAACUUUUGUAAAUAUCUUGACACAUGAGCAGACUAAUUUGUUCAAUGUAGUAAUAAAAUGCUUUGGACUUAUGAUUUCUUUUGUUCA
rnacentral:lncRNA from 12 species